rnacentral:rRNA from 1 species
GAUGAACGCUGGCGGCGUGCCUAAUACAUGCAAGUCGAGCGAACAGACGAGGAGCUUGCUCCUUCGACGUUAGCGGCGGACGGGUGAGUAACACGUAGGUAACCUACCUACAAGACUGGGAUAACUUCGGGAAACCGGAGCUAAUACCGGAUAAUAUUUCGAACCGCAUGGUUCGAUAGUGAAAGAUGGCUUUGCUAUCACUUAUAGAUGGACCUGCGCCGUAUUAGCUAGUUGGUAAGGUAACGGCUUACCAAGGCAACGAUACGUAGCCGACCUGAGAGGGUGAUCGGCCACACUGGAACUGAGACACGGUCCAGACUCCUACGGGAGGCAGCAGUAGGGAAUCUUCCGCAAUGGGCGAAAGCCUGACGGAGCAACGCCGCGUGAGUGAUGAAGGUCUUCGGAUCGUAAAACUCUGUUAUUAGGGAAGAACAAACGUGUAAGUAACUGUGCACGUCUUGACGGUACCUAAUCAGAAAGCCACGGCUAACUACGUG